rnacentral:lncRNA from 1 species
CCGGGAAACCACCACCGCCGCGACCACCACCUCCGGCCACUCCAGGAUUAGCAUCUUUAGGAAGAGCUCUCUUAACUUCCACUUGUUUACCGCUCAAAUCGUGGUAACUCUUGUGCAAAACAAGGUCAACCGAAUCUUCAGAGUCAAACGAAACAAACCCAAACCCUCUAGGACGCUGCGUGGCCUGGUCAAUCAUAAUAACCGCAUCGCUCACAGGGCCGUAAGUCUCGAAGUAAGCCCUAAACUCAUCUGACGUUAAAGCAGGAGGCAAACCUCCCACGAAUAUCUUCUUAGUCCUCACGUUAGCUCCACUAUCAAAACUCCUAUUACCAUUAAAACCCCCUUGUCUCCCUGCAGGAGACUGCUCGUCUCUAGACAUUGCUCUCUUCACAUCAACCUAAUAUGAGUUAAAACCACAUUAAAAGCUUGAAUCUUUAACAUCCACUAGAGAAACCCAACUCGUAAAAAAGGGAAAGUUUUGAAAUUUACAUCUCUAUUAUCGAUAUGGUGCUUGUCCUGGAGAACUCUAUCAAUAACGGCGGGAUCGGAGAAUGCGACGAAUCCGAAUCCUCUGGGACGACCUGUAGCUUUGUCUCGCAUCACCGUAACCUGCAAAACCUCUCCGAAAUUGCUGAAGUAUUCUCUCAGAAUAUUCUCGUCGGUUUCCCAUGAAAUCCCGCCGAUAAAGAGCUUUCCCUGAUCUGAUUCCAUUGCUUACACUCUCGAUGUACCCAAAAUGAAAAACCCUAGAUUGGUCCCCGACGAAUCCUCCCCGGUGAAGAAGGGGAAAGGAGGUAGUGACUCGAGAAAAUUAGGGUUUGGGAUUGUGAAAUCGAGUGAGAGUCAGAGAGAGAGAUGAGGAAGUAACAGACUUGGAAAGUAGUAAUGGGUCAUUGGGCUAAGGAGAAUGAAAGAGACCAAACUUUAAAUGGCUUGACAACAUUAAGCCCAAAAUUAAAGACGUGUGAGAAGAACAUGAGUAAAAACACUAUACUGAUUAAAGACUAAAUGAUCAAUACAUAUUUUAAAAAGAUUUUUGAGAACCAAAUGAUAUACAUAUUAAUCAGAAAAAAAAACUAGACCAAAGUAAAUGUUUCGUCUCGCUAUGUUCUAGAUAUCGUCAAGCGCAAUACCCGAACUACGAAAUUUCAUGGUACCACUGUAAAGGAGUUCCCUAUCAAUUGAAGCAGAGUGAAGAAAUCAAUAUGUAACAUCCCGAGUUGUGAUAUAUGGAAAGGCUUAAGAGAAUUGAUUUGGCAACCUAUGUCACCAAAAUUAACUUACCUUUUUCGUUACACAUCCGUUUAGAACUCCAGAGUUAAGCGUGUUUGGACUGGAGUAGUGAAAGGAUGGGUGACCUAUCGGGAAUUGAUUCGCGAUAGCGUGCGAGUGAGGCCAAAGCACCCUCCAGAGCCAUCUGACACAUCAGCAUAGCCACCGCCAUGGCUGUUAGGCCGCCCACCGACUGCACCAUAACCAGAUUGUGUUCCAUAAGAGGAAUCAUUUCCACCAUAGCCAUAACCCUGACUGCCAUACCCCGCAGCUGCACCUCCUUGACCAAUCCCUACUGAACCAGGACCAGAACCACCCCAAGGAGCAGCAGCAGCAUUUCCAUAUCCCACGUUGUUACCGUAACCCGAUGGUGCUUGACCUUCCCAUGACGGUCUCGGACCACUUCCAAACCCUGCUCCAGGGCCACCAGGAUUCCCAUAAGGCGCACCAGAUGGAUUCCCAUACCCUCCUCCUCCAAAACCCCCAUAACCUGCACCGCUGCUUCCAUAACCAUAACCAGUACCAUACCCAGAAGCACCCCCAUAAGGAGGAUAACCACCACUUCCAGCGUUUUGAGGCGGCAUGUAUCUACUGGAAUCAACACGACCCUCGUAGCCACUUCCACCAGAACCACCAUAUCCCGGGAAACCACCACCGCCGCGACCACCACCUCCGGCCACUCCAGGAUUAGCAUCUUUAGGAAGAGCUCUCUUAACUUCCACUUGUUUACCGCUCAAAUCGUGGUAACUCUUGUGCAAAACAAGGUCAACCGAAUCUUCAGAGUCAAACGAAACAAACCCAAACCCUCUAGGACGCUGCGUGGCCUGGUCAAUCAUAAUAACCGCAUCGCUCACAGGGCCGUAAGUCUCGAAGUAAGCCCUAAACUCAUCUGACGUUAAAGCAGGAGGCAAA